UUGGGAAAGAGCUCAUACAGGCCU
rnacentral:piRNA from 1 species